rnacentral:misc_RNA from 1 species
GAAAUGCGAUAAGUAAUGUGAAUUGCAGAAUUCAGUGAAUCAUCGAAUCUUUGAACGCAUCUUGCGCUCCUUGGUAUUCCUUGGAGCAUGCCUGUUUGAGUAUCAUGAAAUCUUCAAAGUAAAUCUUUUGUUAACUCAAUUGGUUUCUACUUUGGUAUUGGAGGUCUUUGCAGCUUCACACCUGCUCCUCUUUGUUCAUUAGCUGGAUCUCAGUGUUAUGCUUGGUUCCACUCGGCGUGAUAAGUUAUCUAUCGCUGAGGACACUGUAAAAGGUGGCCAAGGUAAAUGCAGAUGAACCGCUUCUAAUAGUCCAUUGACUUGGACAAUACUUUUAUGAUCUGAUCUCAAAUCAGGUAGGACUACCCGCCGAACUUAAGC